UAUGUACUCCCUUCGUCCGGAAAUACUUGUCAUCAAAAUGAACAAAAGGGGGUGUAUCUAGAUAUAUUUUAGUUCUAGAUUCAUCCCUUUUUGUCCAUUUUGAUGACAAGUAUUUCCGGAUGAAAGGAGUAUCAA
rfam:Triticum aestivum genome assembly, contig: Triticum_aestivum_CS42_TGACv1_scaffold_220837_3B